ensembl:snoRNA SNORD73 Small nucleolar RNA SNORD73
AACAUGAUGACAAACUGUUUCGGUCCCAUAUGAGUUCUUGUGAUUACUGACAUGAGAUCGUUCUGAUGUU